UUUUAUACUGUAGAUAUGAAUAAAGUCUCAUAUUA
rnacentral:tRNA from 1 species